ensembl:lincRNA A930003O13Rik RIKEN cDNA A930003O13 gene
AUGACAAGUAGAUAUUUUAUUUAAAAUUGAAAGCCCUUUCUGAAAUUGCAUAGGUAUAAUUUUGCAAGCAAUGGAUGAUUAGGAUUUCCAGAUGAGUCAUUGCUUAUGAUCAACGUCAUCAAGUGAGGACUGCUAAAUCCUGUUGGUUAAUUGAUUUUUAGAGUUAUGCCCAAGGUCAUUGGAUCUCACCACAGAAUACAAAGAUUCUAAUGAUUAAGCUCUCUGCACCCCUAACAUCCUCUCCUCUCUCCCCUUGGACCUUCAGUUUCCUUCCACCCUCUCCUCUCUCCCCUUGGACCUUCAGUUUCCUUCCACCCUCUCCUCUCUCCCCUUGGACCUUCAGUUUCCUUCCACCCUCUCCUCUCUCCCCUUGGAUCUUCAGUUUCCUUUGGGAUUUUUAGGAAUCAGGACUACCACUUACUCAGUCACUGGGCUAGUAGCCUCAAUAAGAUGGCCUGAGUGUCUCAGCACUCUCAGAAAGUCAAGAUCAAAUUGGGAUCCAGGUAAGAUGGAUCUGAAGUUAAAGAGGUUUUAUGACCCUAGUUGGCCCCUGGAAUCCGCAUGGUGGAAGGAGAAAAUCGACCCCUGACAGGUGUCCUCUGAUCUCCACAUGUGCAUCUACUGGAUAUGAGUGUGUCCACCCUAGUCAAUCAAACAAACAUAAAUCAAAUACAUAAAUAUAAAAAAAUCAAACCUUCAUUCCAAGCUCAUCCUUUGGAGUGUUUCAGAAAAGGUAAAGCUUACUUAAAACUUUCAACUCAGGGAUCAUGCUGGGAAGCACUGCUACUUGCAUUCUCUGCUAUGAGCAUCUUUAAAUGCAUAUCUUGUCCCUAUUCUGCAAUCAUUUAGGUCUCUAAAAUCUCAGGUUCAGAUUUUUAAGAGUCUCUCAAAUAAUGUAGCCCAUAUUUUAAAAUCUUACAAUCCUCAUGUCCUUCUAAAUAAGAAGAAAACCUAUUCCUAAGGCUGCGUUCCUUACCAUAGUCAUAAACGAAUGCUAACAUUAAUGAUUCAGUACUCUGGUGUAAGGGCACAUUUUAAUGCCCUUCAGGUUCUGCUGCAGAAGCCAUUCAAACUCUCAGCAGCUUAUAACCACAGCAUCUUCUUCUGAUCUACACCACAUGAUCGUCAGUGGCUGUGGUUCUGCCCCAUGCAGCGGCCCUGACAAUGCAUUUGUCUUGACAUCCCCCAGAUUUGGGUUGAAAGAAGCUCCUAUUUGCUUCAUGCUGUUUUCAGAAAGAGAACAGAGGUGGAAAUGGCUCCAGCAAAUUGUGAGCCUAUAAAUAAAACUGUAGCAUAUCAUAUCAAAGAGCUGAGUGAAAAAUUAAGGUGUUUAAUAAAAUCCACUAUAUUCAUUUUCAAUUCUAACAAAACUUUAGUUUUAACUUACUUUCCAAGGAUUUCCUAAACUUAUUCAUAUGAGUUUUAUUUAAAUUCUGUGGAUUAACCAUCAUAUCCCACCUGAAUGAGAAGAAAGUGCACCUUAGUGGGGUUUAUAAUAAAAAAUAUUGACAAGGUGAUAAAAGGACAGUAUUCAAACAUGCUAUAUGAUUAUACCUGUUAAAAUUCCAUUUAUUUUUUUCCUUUUAUUAAAGUUGGCUUUUACAGCUUCUCCCUCUGUUCCUCACGGCCCUUCUCCAUCUCCCUGACUGGAUCCACCACCUUUCUGCCUUUCUUUAGAAAACAAAUAGGCUUCUAAGAGAUUGAGAGAGCUUCUGGGUGGGGCUUGUGUCCACUUCAUCUUCCAGCUCUAGUGCAGACUCACACAGGCCCCGUGCCUGCUGCCAAUCUCUUGUGAGUUCAUAUGUGCAUCAGUCCUCAUGCUUUAGAGUCUUGAUUUCUUGGUGUCUUCAUCCACUCUGGUUUUUACAUCCUUUUAACUCUUCUACCUGAGGGUUCCUGCGGGGAGCAAUUUGAUGGAGAUGUCCUAAAUUCAGGAAGGAGUGUUCCAAGGUCUCUUAUUCUCUGUAUAAUGUCUGGCUGAGUUUCUAUAUCUGUUCCCAUCUGUACAGGAAAAAGCCUCUCUGAUCAUGGCUGAGAAAGGUACUGAUCUAUGGGUGUAGCUCAAUGUCCUUAGGAGCCAUUUUAUUACUGUGCUCUUUUAGCAGAUCAGUUCUAUUUGGUUUACCCUAGAUCCAAGCUGGCUGUCUAGUCUCAAGUUCUUACUCACCCAAGUAGUAUUAGGUAAGGGUUCCAUCUUGUGGAGUGGGCCUAAAGUUACAUCAGAUAUUGGUUGGUCACUCCCACAAGCUUUGUGCCACCACUGCACUAGCUUCUCCUGCAGGCUUCACACCAUUGUAGAUCAAAGGGUUUGUGGUUGAUUGGUGUUUAUGUUUCUCCCUUUGGAGUGUGCAGACUACCUUCUUGUACCAAAGACAUUAGAAUGUAGGGGUGAAGUCUCUAUGUGGGUACCAGCUCAACUUCUCCAUGUUCAAUGAGUUCUGUAGGUGUUGUCUGCUUUGGGGGCUUUUCAGUCAGUCUGUGGAGAGCAAAAUGUUUAAGUAUUAAAAGUUGGCACUUAGGAAUGAGGAUGGGCUAGAAGUCCACAAAUGGGAAGAAAACAGUAUAUAGCAUCAAAAUCUGCUUGUCCCCUGAGAACAGCAUUCAAGAGUGAGUAGGAGAGGCCACAAUAGUCUGCUACAGAUCUGGGGAUGAAACUGGAAAACUGCAUAUGGAGACGAGAAGGAAGAGUGACGAUCCUAAGCUCUCCUCCCUGCUGCCCUGGCAGCCUUGUCUGCAGGUUCCCAGGGAAGCUGGGAUAAAUCAAUGAGUGAGGGGAAGGAAGUUUGAUUUAUGUAUGUGCGACUAAAGAUGGGGGCAGCAGGGAGGGGAGGUUCCUGUGGGUGGUCUGCUACAGAGCUGGGGACCAGACAGUGGGACUGGAUUCAGAGAGGAAAGAGAGGUGAAGAUUGAAGUUAUGCUGGCUGUCUGCUUCCCUAUAAUUAUAUUAUAAAAGUAAUUUGUUUUUAAGGAGAAUUUAGUUUCAGAGUGAAAACAUGUGUUUUCCUACGGCUUUCUAGGAACGCUAGUGAAGCCAAAGACCUUGGAGCAGAACCUGCAGUCAGUACUUUACUAAACCAGCACAAUUCCUAACAGCAGU